UAGCAAGAAGUAAUAUAUUACACUUAGUUUCGACCUAAAAAUAGGAGUAUUCUCCCUUGCUCA
rnacentral:tRNA from 1 species